rnacentral:rRNA from 1 species
ACGUAGGGUGCGAGCGUUAAUCGGAAUUACUAGGCGUAAAGCGUGCGCAGGCGGCGGCCCAAGUCGGGUGUGAAAUCCCCGGGCUUAACCUGGGAAUUGCGCUUGAAACUAGGUCGCUAGAGUGUGGCAGAGGGGGGUGGAAUUCCUGGUGUAGCAGUGAAAUGCGUAGAUAUCAGGAGGAAUACCGAUGGCGAAGGCAGGUCUCUGGGCUAUAACUGACGCUCAUGCACGAAAGCGUGGGGAGCAAACAGGA